rnacentral:rRNA from 1 species
AUGAACGCUGGCGGCGUGCCUAAUACAUGCAAGUCGCGCGAACAGACGAGGAGCUUGCUCCUCUGACGUUAGCGGCGGACGGGUGAGUAACACGUGGAUAACCUACCUAUAAGACUGGGAUAACUUCGGGAAACCGGAGCUAAUACCGGAUAAUAUAUUGAACCGCAUGGUUCAAUAGUGAAAGACGGUUUUGCUGUCACUUAUAGAUGGAUCCGCGCCGCAUUAGCUAGUUGGUAAGGUAACGGCUUACCAAGGCGACGAUGCGUAGCCGACCUGAGAGGGGGAUCGCCCACACGGGACUGGAGACCCGGCCCGGCCUCCGACGGGGGGCAGAAGUGGGAAAUCUCCCGCAAUGGGAGAAGGCCUGACGGAGCAGCGCCGGGUGAGUGAUAAAGGUCUUCGGAUCAAAAAACUUUUUUAUGAGGGAAAAAAAAAUGUUAAAGUAACUAUGCCCGUUUGGACGGUACCUAAUAAAAAAGCCACGGCUAACUACGUG